GACGAACGCUGGCGGCGUGCUUAACACAUGCAAGUCGAACGGAAAGGCCCUGCUUUUGUGGGGUGCUCGAGUGGCGAACGGGUGAGUAACACGUGAGUAACCUGCCCUUGACUUUGGGAUAACUUCAGGAAACUGGGGCUAAUACCGGAUAGGAGCUCCUGCUGCAUGGUGGGGGUUGGAAAGUUUCGGCGGUUGGGGAUGGACUCGCGGCUUAUCAGCUUGUUGGUGGGGUAGUGGCUUACCAAGGCUUUGACGGGUAGCCGGCCUGAGAGGGUGACCGGCCACAUUGGGACUGCGAUACGGCCCAGACUCCUACGGGCGGCAGCAGUGGGGAAUAUUGCACAAUGGGCGCAAGCCUGAUGCAGCAACGCCGCGUGCGGGAUGACGGCCUUCGGGUUGUAAACCGCUUUCGCCUGUGACGAAGCGUGAGUGACGGUACUGGGUAAAGAAGCACCGGCUAACUACGUG
rnacentral:rRNA from 1 species